AGGGAUGCAGCGUAGCUUGGUAGCGCGUUUGUUUUGGGUACAAAAUGUCACGGGUUCAAAUCCUGUCAUCCCUA
rnacentral:tRNA from 1 species